rnacentral:lncRNA from 1 species
GCUGUCAACAGGGGUGGACUGAGUCGUGAACCCUUAAGUAUAACGCCAGAUAUAGUGCCAGUGUAAAGGAUGUGGCAAAGCUGUUAAUAAUUGAUCAAAUGUUACUAGAAACUGGAGCACUCAGAGUGCAUCAAACUCUAAACAUUUAAGUAAUGUGCCCAAGUUUUUAUUCAGAUUUUGAAAUUUCUUCAAUAUCAAAAACUUGAUACCUGAGCCAGGCACGGUGGCACACGCCUGUAAUCCCAGUGACUCAGGAGGCUGAGGUAGGAGGAUCAUGAGUUCAAAGCCAGCCUCAGCAACUUAGCGAGACACUUGGAGCUCAAUGAGACCCUGCCUCUCAAUAAAAUAUAAGAAAGGGCUGGGGAUGGGGUUCAGUGGUUAAGCACCCCUGGUUCAAUCCCCGGUACCAAAAGAAACAAACCUGAUACCUGACGUGAAUGUGGAAAGAGUCAUCCAAAAUACAUGCCUUAAAUAACAACAAAGUAUUUGUAAUGAAGAAAAACCUUGACAAAUGUAAAAAGUUUAGCAAUACCCUUAUCUCUUCCUCAUAUCUUGAUUUAUAUGAGAAUUAUAAAUGGAGCUAAGUCAUAUAAGUAUAGAAAAUGGGACAUUAUCUUUGCAUAAAAUUUAUUUAAAGUUAUUAGCUCAUGUGUAGAAAUUUAAAAAUCAUCCUAUCAUAGCAUGAUGCAGAAAACAUCUCUAAAAGAUAUAAAUUUGUUAUAAGUCAAGAUUACUACAUAUCCACAUUUUUUUAAUGAAAUCCCACAGAUUUCAUUAUAUAUCAGAAGAAAACUUGUUCCUGAGAGAUUUCUCUUUUUUAAGAAAAAUUUUAAGUUGUAGAUGGACAUAACACCUUUAUUUUGUUUAUUUACUUUUAUGUGGUGCUGAGGAUUGAAUCCAGUGUGUCACACAUGCUGGGCAAGUGCUCUACUGCUGAGCUAUAGCCCCACCCAGAGAUUUUAAUCUGUUGUUGUUGUUAUUGUUGUUGUUGAAACUAUGCUAUGGACUUUGAAAUACUUUGUUCACAUUAUAUAUGCUUUUUUUUUUACUAAAUAAAAGUAUUAAUGUGC